rnacentral:lncRNA from 1 species
CCACCCUACAACUUCUUCCCCUCACGCCGCCUUUCCCCGGGAAGCCAAGAUGGCCGCCGGUGCCGACGCCCCGGCCAGGCCAGGCCCAGGCCCCCAGCGCUCCCCCUUCCGCUCCGAGCGGGAGGGGCUAGCGAGCAUGCGCAAUAAGAUGCUGUGUACCCAGCCAAAAGACUACAUUUCUCAAUCUCCAUUGUAGCUGGAUGUGGCUGUGUGAUCAAGUUAUGACCAAUGAGAUAUAAGUAGAAGUAGCUUGGCCAGACACAGUGGCUCACACCUGUAAUCCCAGCCCUUUGGGAGGCCAAAGCAGGAGGAUCACUUGCACUCAGGAGUUGGAAACUGCAGACCAGCCUGGAGAACACAGUGACACCUUGUCUCUACACAAAAUGAAAAAGUUAGCAGGGUAUGGUGGCAUGUGCCUGUGGUCCCAGCUACUUCCAGCUACUUGGGAGGCUAAAAUGGAAGGAUCGCUUGAGCCUGGGAGAUUGAGGCCUCAGUGAGCCAUGAUCAUGCCACUGUACUCCAGCCUGGGUGACAAGAGCAAGACCCUGUCUCUCAAAAAAAAAAAAACGCGGCUGGGUGGAACAUCUGGAAAACAUCUUUAAAGAACGCUGACUCAAUCAGGAGGAGCACCAUUUUGUUUCUUGCCCUCUGCCCUUCCUGCCUGAAACAGAUAAGUGCCCUCUGUGUACCAAAAAGGAAUGUACUGUUUAUAGAGACUUCAAAUCAGCAGAAAAUUCAAAUAGUUAUAACUUUUCUUUAUAAUCCAUCAUGAAAAAGAGUAACGACAAAUAAGAGUGCAGUGGUGCAGUCAUGGCUCACUGCAGCGUCUGCCUCCUGGACUCAAAGAAUCCUCCUACCUCAGCCUCCCAAGUAGCUAGGACCACAGAGUUGUGCUCUCCUGCAGCGUUUUGCGGACGGCUGGCUAUCUUACCCAGAAUCAAUCACACUGGGACACUGAAAAAAAAAAAAAAGGAAAAAAGAGCGAGGGAGUAAUUCUAGCCUGUUUUUACAAGAACACAGUGGCUAUAGACAGUGCCAGUGUGAAGAUGACUCAGCAAACGUGGAGAACCAAAGAUUCUAGGGCAGCACCAAAACUGGGAAAGCAAUUACAGCAGAAGUUGCCUUCCCCAUGGUAGCUUAGCAACUUCGUGUCUCUCCAAGGCAGAGAGGAAAAUCAAGUCUAACAGGCCUUCCCGAAGGCUAGGUGUGAAAUACCAGAAGCCAUCUUUGUUUCUGGCGAUGUCACUAAAUAAGUAUUUGUUGAUAUAAAGUAUUACACAUCUGUUCUCCCACAUUUCAGCUAAAUUGCCAAAAGUUAACCCUUUCUGGAGAUCCAGAAUGGAGCAAUAUACCUAGCUCUCAUUCAUUAUUUCCCUUGCUGAUAUUCUUGCAUAGCUUUUAGUUUAUGCAUUUGUCCCAAAUAAACCUAGAAAAAGCCACUUGUCGUAGGACAAGAUGAGCUGAUGAUUUGAAUCACUCCCCCACUGAGGAAGAAACCAUCUGUGGAAAAGACUGUAUAAGGUACUUCCUGGUUGAACGGUAGGGCUCUGGAGUCAGAAGUCUUGAAUUUGAAUCCCAGCCCUGAAAUGUAUCAGCUGUGUGCCCUUAGGCCAGAUAUACUUUUAUUGCACAACAUGUAUUACGUACAAGAAUAUCACAAGAUUUGGAAAUGUUAGUCCUAGAAGAGUUUGACACAACGCAAUGAUAAGACAGUAUGAAAAAUGGAGCUAUGAAUAAAAAAGAAUCCAUAAGUCCCCAGAGC